UACAAGACUUAUAUCUCAUAAGUUACGGGUUUCGGGGCAUCGGAACCGAUUUUAAGCUGGUUCGUUGUCGACGAAACCUGCAGACUAUGGGACACA
rnacentral:pre_miRNA from 1 species